rnacentral:lncRNA from 1 species
UAUAUGUGCUUUUAUUUUUUAGUUAUGUUCGCUUACUUUUGUUUUGUGUAAUCUUGUUUUACUGGGAUGUUUUGUAUAUAUAUAUAUGCUUAAGUCCGUUGUCAGAGUUUGUGUGCAUGGUAAGCUCGUUAAUUUGUCUUUCCGUAGUAUCUUAUCUUUCUUAAUACCACAACAGAUGACAAAGAUACAGCAUGUUAAACAUUAACAGUGUUAUUUGUUGUCGCAUUUAUAACCAGCUAUCCAGUCUCAAUAGCUGAUAAUCAUAAUAUGAUUUGUAGUAGUCUGAUGUAUGUACCGCUUUAAAUUAAAGUUGCUAUAUUUAUGCAUCUGGUA